rnacentral:rRNA from 1 species
UACAGAGGUCUCAAGCGUUGUUCGGAUUCAUUGGGCGUAAAGGGUGCGUAGGUGGCGAGGCAAGUCAGAUGUGAAAUCCCGGGGCUCAACCCCGGAACUGCAUUUGAAACUGCCUUGCUCGAGUACUGGAGAGGAGACUGGAAUUUACGGUGUAGCAGUGAAAUGCGUAGAUAUCGUAAGGAAGACCAGUGGCGAAGGCGAGUCUCUGGACAGUUCCUGACACUGAGACACGAAGGCCAGGGGAGCAAACGGG